UUCAAUGAGAAACAAUAUUCAGGUCAGGUCAAAGCCUAGAGAAAAAUGCGCAUUCAGAAGUGGGCUGCCAUCCUGCUUUUUCUGAAGUGAACAGCUGCUGGGUAUUGAAACCAGCCCUCACGGUUGGGUCCCUGCCACCAUGGCAACACUCUGGUUUCUGAGCUGGAGUGGCCAAGGCACAAUGGGGUGGUUCCAUGGCCCAGAAGCACUCUAGCUACAGAUUAGAAUGAUGACAAGAGUAAUACCUUCCUAGUGAAGAUGACUUUUAUUUCAGGACUAUAUUAAGUUUCCCAACUUCUGUCAUGAUAUAGUCCAAAGAGAACCUGGACCACGCAGACAUCAAACAGAACAUGACACUGACCCAUUCUAUCAGUGACGUUGUGCUGAUUGCACAGGACAGAUGAGAGGCUCGUAUACUAGAAGUCUUGAUAACUUGUUUUCUAGUUUCACAUGUCCACAGAUGAAGAAAAAUUGUGCCCCAGCAAGGAUUAUACCCAGAGCCUCAUCCAUUCAUACCUGAUUUAGAUACUUAGAUGAUGAGUAAUAGAAAAGUCAUAUGAUACUUCAAAAUCUGUGAUUCCAUGAAGCCAAGAGUAGCUCUUCAACAGGAAAUGAAUGAGUGCUUCAGCUUCUGAUCCCAUUAGUAAGAAAAUACAGUCUUAUGAGCAAUGAUGGAGCUGCAUCUCUUAGGGGCAUUUGAUUCCCAAGAGACCAAAGAGCAAAGAGAAUGUCAAUUUAAAAAAAUCAAAUGUUUCCAUGACUUAGCUAUUUAACUGCUUUAAAAUGAAUGAAUGCUGCUUCAAGUUCUUUCAAAUACCCCACAUCUUGGCAACAACGAAAGGAAUUAACAUGAAGAAAAUUUACAAUCUUUCAUCACAUCGAACAAUGUCCCACAUUUGAAAAGUUCACAGCACAGAUUUCUGGUUACUGAAAGAAAGGAAAGACCUUCUUUGGAUUUGAAUAAACAGAUGGACUUUCUUCUCCUUUUUCUUAUAGUGCCCGAUUUGUGUAAAGGGAGGUGGGAAGAAAACAUCUUAGCUUAAAAGAGUGUCCUAUAAAAUAAAAGGUUUCAUACUU
rnacentral:lncRNA from 1 species